GUAGGGAAUAUUGGGCAAUGGAUGCAAGUCUGACCCAGCCAUCCCGCGUGCCGGAAGAAGGCCCUCAGGGUUGUAAACGGCUUUUGACGGUGAAGAACCGACAGGAUGCGUCCUGUUUUGACGGUAGCCGUUGAAUAAGCACCGGCUAACUCCGUGCCAGCAGCCGCGGUAAUACGGCGGGUGCGAGCGUUGUCCGGAUUUAUUGGGUUUAAAGGGUGCGUAGGCUGGAAGGUCAGUCAGCGGUGAAAAGCUAUCGCUUAACGAUAGUCUUGCCGCAGAUACUUCCUUUCUUGGAUGAGGAGGAGGCCACUGGAACGGAUGGUGUAGCGGUGAAAUGCAUAGAUAUCAUCCAGAACACCGAUUGCGAAGGCAGGUGGCUGUACCUUAAUCGACGCUGAUGCACGAAAGCAUGGGGAGCAAACAGGAUUAGAAACCCCAGUAGUCC
rnacentral:rRNA from 1 species